CUGGAAUUCCUGGUGUAGGGCUGAAAUCUGUAGAUAUCAGGAAGAACAUCUGUGGCGAAGGCGAGCUUCUGUCCAGAUACUGACUCUGAGGCGCUAAAGCGUGGGGAUCGUACAGGAUUAGAUACCCUGGUAGUCCACGCUGUAAACGAUGUGCACUAGGUGUUGUCUGUGAUUACGGUCAGUGCCGAAGCAAACGCGAUAAGUGCACCGCCUGGGGUAGUAUGCUCGCAAGGGUGAAACUCAAAGGAAUUGACGGGGGCCCGCACAAGCGGUGGAGCAUGUGGUCUAAUUCGAUGAUACGCGAGGAACCUUACCAGGGUUUGACAUAUGGCGGACUGCGGCAGAGAUGUCGCUUCCCUUCGGGGCCGUCAUACAGGUGCUGCAUGGCUGUCGUCAGCUCGUGCUGUGAGGUGUUGGGUUAAGUCCCGCAACGAGCGCAACCCCUGCUGUCUGUUACCAGCACGUAAUGGUGGGGACUCAGGCGGUACUGCCGGUGACAAACCGGAGGAAGGUGGGGACGACGUCAAGUCAUCAUGGCCCUUAUGUCCUGGGCUACACACGUGCUACAAUGGCCGGUACAGAGUGCAGCGAAACCGCGAUGUGGAGCAAAUCACAGAAAGCCGGUCUCAGUACGGAUUGGAGUCUGAAACCCGACUUCAUGAAGCUGGAAUCGCUAGUAAUCGCGCAUCAGCAUGGCGCGGUGAUACGUUCCCGGGCAUUGUACACACCGCCCGUCACACCACCCGAGUUGGGGUACCCGAAGUCGCUUGUCUAACCGAAACGGGGACAGUGCAGAAGUAUGCAUGUAAGGGGG
rnacentral:rRNA from 1 species